rnacentral:rRNA from 1 species
GACGAACGCUGGCGGCGCGCCUAACACAUGCAAGUCGAACGAAGCUACUUGACUGAAGUUUUCGGAUGGAAAGAAAGUAGACUUAGUGGCGAACGGGUGAGUAACACGUGAGCAACCUACCUUUCAGUGGGGGACAACGUUUGGAAACGAACGCUAAUACCGCAUAAAGUAACGAGAUGACAUCAUCUUGUUACCAAAGAUUUAUCGCUGAGAGAUGGGCUCGCGUCCGAUUAGAUAGUUGGUGAGGUAAUGGCUCACCAAGUCGACGAUCGGUAGCCGGACUGAGAGGGCGAAGGGCCACAUUGGGACUGGGAAACGGCCCAGACUCCUACGGGAGGCAGCAGUGGGGAAUAUUGGUCAAUGGGGGAAACCCUGAACCAGCGACGCCGCGUGAGGGAAGACGGUUUUCGGAUUGUAAACCUCUGUCUUCAGGGACGAUAAUGACGGUACCUGAGGAGGAAGCCACGGCUAACUACGUGCCAGCAGCCGCUGUAA